GACUCAUCUCUCGCAUAGACAAUCAAGGCCAAGGCGGCUCAUUUGCGUGUAUGUUUGUGGCUGGGCACACAAUCCAUUAAUCCUUUAAAUUUUCGCACAGAAGGUGCCCUAUUUUUCCUCUUUGCAUUUUUUCGUGUUAAUUUUUUUAGAUUGUUUGUGUUGGCAAAUGGAAAAGGACUCAGAAUCCUUGAUUUCUACUGAUUUUGAAUUUCAGUCUCAAAUUAGUUCCUGUUCAUCCAUUCAUUAGGAAUAAGCAUAUUAUCUACUGGAAAAAAAUCUUCAUAGAUAGCGGAGACAUGUAUCUCUGCAGCCCUCACACGGAAUACACAAGGAUGCUGAUUAAUGCUAGCAAGGGAAAUUAGCAAAGUAAGAAAAUCACAAUGCCUAAGGAACGCCGCAAUGGAAUAGCUAAAUCAACAAUGGUACGCAGAUGUUUCUCUAAAGGUGGGGAUUAUUUCCCUUUAUAUACUGAUUUGUAAAGCUGGCGAUAGAUAGGCUACAUACUUACGUACCAACAUCCCCCAAUCUAUGAAAUAUAUUUGAAGUUGUGAAAAAUGUGAUGGUACCAUGACAAACUUUUUCGUUAUUCACUCCGCACUGGUGCCUGCUGGUAAGGGUGUGUCUAGGGCACAUCUAGAUGUGCCCUAGUUAUUGCACAUCUAAAUAAGUGAAUCAAGCAUAAAGAGGAAAAGAAAAAAAAGAAAAAAGAAUUAUUCACACGAAUCUCGACGUAAGAUCAAUGACAUAGGACUUAGAUGUGCAAUAUAUAUGGCACAUCUAGAUGUGCUUUAGCAAAACUGUAAGUAAUAAUACACUAAUCAGAACAGGAUGGUUUGGGUACGUUGUUGCCUCAACUACUAGGAUUUGUGGGGGCUUGCACUAUGGUAUCUAAAUUACUAGAUAAACUAAUGUAAGUACCCUUUAAUCUUUUUACUUUUUGAAAUUGGAACCCCUCUUUAUUAAGUAUCAGAUCAGAUGAAAGGAGGGGAACCAACUCACUAGGAGGUUCUUCCAUCCACUCACAAGUACCAUACAUUAGCCAUCUUAGAAAGUUGGUGAGCAACUGAAUUUGCUUCCCUGUGUCAGUGUUGGGUACGCUUGUGUUCGAAAUUUGUUCCAAGGAUGUGGGACCGUUUGCCUGUCUUUGAGGCUUUACUUUCCGUGAUCUGAAUCUGAGCGAGCACUAAAUUCUUGCAAAAUGGAGAAAAAUGGUCGCCGACAAGUAGGCAGAUCUACAACUUGAGGGAUGGCAUUUCACGGUACAAUGUUCAGUUUUUGGUGUAUGCUUGGAGGAGAGGAGGAUAGGCUUGAAUCUUGAGAUGACAAGGGUAGUCACCUGGUGCAACGAAAGGUUCGGUUUCGUACUUGUGAUAAUAUUGUUCAGGUAGUAUCUGGAUGAUUGCCCUUGUACUAUUCUUUUCAGAAGGAAGGAGGAGGUCAACGGAGCAAAAGGCAUGAGGAGAAAGGUUUAACGCAACAAGGAUGAUGAUGUUGGCAACGCCUUUGGAAGGAUUCGCUCUGGAGAAGUUACGGUGUCCGGCCAUCGCGCUGGGGAAGCGGGGAGGAUGUCGUUCGGAACGCCUGCAAGGUCUAGAGGAGUGCAGGGGUGCUUGGUUGCAACCCUGAGCUCGAUUGCCCGAGGUCCGUUUAGUUUGCUGUACUGAGAGUUUAGCCUGAAGAUUGUUGCCUGCCUAACUCAAGCCUGUGAAAUUGGACGCCUGGGUAUGGCUGCGUCUCCUCCCUUCGCUGCCUGAUCACCUACAAUAAAAUACUACUUUGAAUGCAAACCAGGCCAAUGACAAGCCAAACACUGCCAGUCUUUCUAUGAGAGAAAUAAUUUCUUGUUAAGAAAUGCUGGUGUGUAACUUGGCACGUAAAAAGAUACAAAUAUGUUAGCAUGUUUAGUUAUUUUCACCUUA